rnacentral:lncRNA from 10 species
CUAACCCGCCUGCGGGCCCUGGCGCGUGCGCGGCGUCGGAGCAAGCGGCCCCUUCCUUCGGCCCCGCCCAGCCCCGCCGGCCGCCCGCUCCCUGGGGAACCGAGGGAGGAAUGGGCGGGGUCCUCAGGUGCCCGGCGACGUCAUCCAGCCCCCAAGGCUCCAGGACGCAAAGGGUCCCCUGAUCUGGCAGUCCCUGGACCUACCCUGGAGAGCGUGGGGGGACAAAGGCCGGACGCGCCGCCCGCUGCCGCCUCCAGGAAGCCCUCCCUUGCCAGGACAGUGGAGUUGGCCGGGUGUGGACAGCAGGAAGGGCCGGCGGGAAGGGGGGGUGGAAAGAGCCACUCCUGGUUAAUAACUCUGCGGGGUUAACCUAGGGCCGGCCAUACUCAAGUACGGACUUGAGUAAAAUUCAGCAGGAAAAGGAGCAGGGUGGGCGCCGCUAGAGGGAGGCUUCAGGACUGAGGGUCAGAGGCCCAAGGCCUGGCAGGGCCCUUCCCUGGUCAGCUCCAGGCUUGGCCUGAUGCCCGGUGGGCCACGGGCCUCUUCCAGCCUCAGGCUGACCCCAGAGAAAGAGGACAGCCCACAAGCCCGGGAGGCCGGCUUGCUGCCUGGUCAUUGCUGCAGAGCCUGGAGGGGGCCUGCGCUCAGUCCCCGCUGACCGUCCCCUCCCUUGACCCUGCCAUAGCCAUCUGUGUAACCCAGGGGAAAUUAUUCCAAAGGGACUUCCACUUCUGAUAAUCUAUGAUUCUAUUUUCUAAAAAACAAAACUCUAAAAUGCUUAAUGUCAAACAUCUGUCAUCAGCUGAACAGGAAAAGGAACAGUCCUUCCAAAGUGCCUACGGAAAGCUUUGUCCCAUCCUUGAAAAAUUGCUAAUGGGUUUGGAGAUACGAGGUGGAGAUGACUAGCAAUCAAACUCAAAGGUGGAAGUCACAUCGAGGCAGAUGAGCAGAUGAGGGGACCUAGAGAAGAAGAGAGGUGCAAGGAGAGCCCAGCCAGCAGGAACAUCUGCCCCAGUAGGCAGCACUGCCCCACAUCAGAGUCGAGGAAAGCAAAGCUCGGAUUGGAUAAAAGAAACUUGCAAACACGGUCAGUGCUUACUGCAUGUGGGCUCAGAGCACGUUACCCUCCUUCCCUGCAUGUUCCUGUGAAACGGGUUUACUGCUCUAACUCUCAGGGACACUGUGAAGACCAAACGAGAAAAUAGAAACAAACAUAAUUUAUAAACCAUAAAGUACUGACACCAAAAGAGGGGCGAGCACAGCAUUGUGAAUGUGCUGGUACUAAAUGGUUUGUUUUAAGAUGAUUUUAUGGUGUGUGAAUUUCACUUGAAUAAAUUUUUUUAAUGGAGUUCAUGGGGACGCUGCAGGAUGUCAAUUAACUUUGGACAUUUUAGCAGCGCUUUAGGUGUUAAAAUUAUUUUUUAAAAAAUACAGGAUGAAGGGAAAAGCUUCAUGACAUUGGAUUUGGCAGUGAUUCCUUGGAUAUGACCCCAAAAGCACAGAUAACGAAAGAAAAAAUAGUUAAAUUGUCUUCAUCAAAAUUAAAACUUUUGUACAUCAAAGAACUCUUUCAAAAGAGUGAAAAAGUCACAGAAUAAGAGAAAAUCAUAUACCUGAUAAAGAAUUAAUAUUCAGAGCCAGAUGCAGUGGCUCAUGCCUGUAAUCCCAGCACUUUGGGAGGCCAAGGCAGGCAGAUCACUUGAGAUCAGGAGUUCGAGACAAGCCUGGCUAAAAUGGUGAAACCCCAGCUCUACUAAAAAUACAAAAAUUAGCCAGGCGUGGUGGCGUGCACCUGGAAUCCCAGCUAUUCGGGAGGCUGAGGCAGGAGAAUCGCUUGAACUCAGAAGGCAGAGGUUGCAGUGAGCCAAGAUCACACCACUGCACUCCAGCCUGGGCGACAAAGUGAGACUCCAUCUCAAAAAAACAAAACAAAACAAAACAAAACAAAGAGUUACUAUUCAGAAUAUAUUAAGAAUUCCUACAACUCAACAACAAAAAAAAAUCCAACCCAAUUAAAAAAUGGGCAACAGACCCAAAUAGACAUUUCUUAGAAGACACACAAAUGGCCAAUAAGCUCAUGAAAACAUGUUUAACAUCACUAAUCAUUAGGGAAAUGCAAAUCAAAGCUAAAAUGAGAUACCACGUCACACUCAUUAGGUGUUAUUUUUUAAAAAUAACACAACAACAAAAAAUAAGAAAUGUGGGCGAGGAUGUGAAGAAAUUGAAACCCUUGUGGACUGUUGUUGGGGAUGUAAAAUGGCGCAGCUGCUGGGGAAAACAGUAUGGGAGUUCCUCACAAAACUAAACAGAAUUGCCAAACGACCCAGCGAUCCUGCCUCUGACAUAUACUGGAAAGAACUGAAAUAAGGCGCUGGAACAGACACUUGUAACCCAUGUUCACAGCUGAGCCAAAAGGUGGGAGUAACCCAAAUGUCCAUCAGUGGAUGAAUACUGGCAAUAAAAGCUGUGUCUGGAGGCCACUCCGUUUCACACAGCUCUCCACACGGGUGAGGGCACAGCCUUCUCGUCUCUUUCCUAUGCUGCAUCUUCAGAGCUAGCUAUGAUAUGAUAUGAUGUGAUAUGUACAUAUCGAAUAUACAUGUUUUACAUGCAAAUGCAACCAGUUUAUUGAGGGCUUGAUGGGGGAUAUGGGAGUUGCGGGGGAGAAUGGUCUUGUAUUUCCAAUUUAAAAAUAACAACAACAAAACGGGACAGAAGUGCAAGACUUUUAGUGUUCUCUAGAGCAAUGUCACUCUGUCCCUAGACGAAUGGUAGGAGCGGGACAUGUUCAUAUGUCCUCGAGGUGUGACCGCACAUGGGCACACAGUAGCCCAAAGCAUAUCCCAGCCGGGAGCAGUUCCUUUUAUGGGGCCGCCUGGGCAGGAUCCAAGGUGCUGGGUUUGAAACAAAAAGGAGUGACUCUGUCCCACACCAAGUAACACCAAACCUCACUGACCUCAGUUUUCUUAUCUGUAAAAAGAGCAAUGCGGGGGCUGGCUCAGUGGCUCAUGCCUG